GCGCACGCGCGUGAGGGAUGUCGCGGGUGAGUGGUGUCGAGGCCUGUUGGGUCAGGGCGGUUCGCAGGUGCUGUCAGAGCUGGGCGGGGCAGCCGGGUCGUAGAGGCGGGCGCCAGUCGCGGUCGGUGGAGAGGGAUGAGGAUGUAGGAGGGACGGACGUGGCGGAAGCCGCGGGGACUGCGGGGGCGGAGUGCCUCUGGGGAGCCAGGGAGGCCUUUCCAGAGGCUCCUGGGGGAAGAAGAGGCGAAGCGAGAGUCCCCGGGGAAGCCCUACUCCACCCCCAGCCGGAGCCUGGGUUGUGCCUGCACGGACCAGAGCCCACAGUGCGAGUUGCUGUAGGCAACCAGCUAGGGUGGCCAACUUCUCCCGGUUGGCCCGAGAUGUUCUGGUUUUGGGACCACAGCGUCCCAGGCCUCCAGCCCACCACAGUGACCAUAUUGUGCGCCCCCUGCCCAUCUUCUCCCGCAGCUUCCCUAGAUUAGGCUUGGGAGGCAAGGGGAGGCCUCCUGACUUUUCUCACUGCCUUCGUUAAUAUAAAGAUGAAGGCACACUCCACAACUUCCUUCUGGCCAGGCCCAGACAUGUCUGUCCUUGUGAGAUAAAAGCUUCCAUGGGAGCCUUCCUUCCUAAUCAAGGUAGGUAGACCACUGGAAGGUACAUCUGGUUUUAUAUUUUGUCCUGUAGAAGUCAGAUUUCAGCCCAGUUGUGUAGGAGUGAGGAUGAGCUUAUGCUCUUAUCAGAGCUUUGAGUACAGAGACAUUUGAUCUGGAAUUUCAGCCAGCCUCUUCAACCCCAGAAUUCAGAGGUUCAAUCAGAACAGACAUUAGCUUAAGUUUUCCCAUCAGUUGUCUAUCAUUAAACUGGCAAAAUCUAGAUAAUUAGAAAAUAUGACAGAGAUGAUCCAGACAGAGAUGUUCAGGUUUUUCCUUGUGUAAUUCAAAAAGUCUCGUGGUGGAACAUCUGACCCUUUUCAAGAGGAAGGAUGAAAACUCUACAUAGGAACACGAUGUGAAUGGAAGAAACCUGUCAUUAUGCAAAUAGUACGGUAUUCCGAACAGACACUAAAAAUAGCUGUCAUCUCAAAGAAUCCAGUGCUUGUGUCACAGUAUGAGAAAGUAGAUGCUGGGGAACAGCGUUUAAUGAAUGAAGCAUUCCAGCCAGCCAGUGAUCUCUUUGGACCUUGCAUUCUCCAUCAGAUUGGAUCACCUCCCACCCUGAGGCCCCCCAAGACUUUGAACAGUUCUUCAGUCAUCCUUACAGAAAGAUACCCUCUCCAGACAAACGCAGUAUUUAUAUACGGUCCAUUGGUAAAUACUGGUAAUGUGCUAGUUUUGGUUCGGUUUUGCAAUGGUUCUGUUGUCAGGAAUAGUCCGGGCUAUUGGUCUGAUUCAGAUGGGCCAUUUUAGGAUCAUUUUUGAUAUUCAUUGCAAUGGUACAAGUUUUGUAGCCAAACAGACCUAGAACAUUUUUUUUUAAUUCAUAUCAACACCGAUGAAUGUUAAAGGUGUAUUGAAAAUUUAGAGUUGGUUUUGUUUCUAAUUUGAAUCCUCUUACUCAUAGACUGGGUAAACACUGAAUAAUCGUCUUAAAGUCUGUUUUUAAAUGUUCUUCCAUAUUAUAGGAUCUCUAUGAAGCACCAGAAUUAUCAGUGAAGAAUAUAUUAAAUGGCUCACGGGCUACUGUAAAGCAUAUUUCUAUCGCUUGAGAGUAAAACUGCUAGAACCAGUUCCUGUUUCUACAACAAGGUGUUCCUUUAGAGUCAAUGAGAACACACAAAACCUACAAAUUCAUGCAGGGGACAUCCUGAAGUUCUUGAAAAAGAAGAAACCUGAAGAUGCCUUCUGUGUUGUGGGAAUAACAAUGAUUGAUCUUUACCCAAGAGACUUGUGGAAUUUUGUCUUUGGACAGGCCUCUUUGACAGAUGGCACUGGUGAGGUGGAUUGAUGAUGAAUCUUCUGGCACACCUGGAGCAACUCCAGAACACAGUCGUGAGGAUAAUGGGAAUUUACUGAAACCCGUGGAAGGAAGCCUUUAAGGAAUGGAAAGAGUGGAUAAUAAAAUGCCUGACUGUUCUCCAAAAAUAAGGACCUUCAAAUAGGAGUGAUUGAAAUAAAUGACUACUUGCAUGUUAUGCUUUCAUUUGGGUGGAAUACUUCAUCAGAAUAAACUAUUGAUCUUGUGCUGUGUCAAAGUAACAGACUAGAACCUUCUUUCAAGUACCUGAAUUGAAAUGAAACUCAUUUUGAAUAAUAAAAACUCUAGAAACUCUUUAUCUUCUCAUCUUACUGGCCUGGUCUGUGGCAGCAAGCACAUUAUUUCCAUUCCCCAAAUAUGUUUAGGUCUCCCAAGAAAGCUGGGACUGGCGGUAAUGAGCAAGUAAAUAACUUGAAAAAGAACUGUAGAUGCCCCAAGGAACCAACCAACAUAAUUUCCAGGGGGUGAUUUUGUUUUUAGAAGAGCUGCUCCCCUCUGUUAGGGCCAGCCAAGUCACAUUUUUGGACGUCCGUGGACUCUGAUCACCACAGCCCUCCUCUUCCGUGAGCCUUCCUUACUCUCUCGAGUGCAUUAGCUCAUUUUUUUUCUUUUGCUGGUUGUCACCUUAUUCCUGUUUUAGUUUUUAGCAGCUUAAAAUACGACCUCUCAGGAAUAUUUGCAAGUGAAAAUAACAAUGGUCCUUACACUACCACAACAUUUGGUGGUGGGAGUUCCGUUGCAGGUCUCAGCUAUAACAUAGUCAUUUAUGAGGGAUCUUACAAAUAGUGUGUAAUGGUAUUUAUAUUUGUGAGUGUUACACUUUCUCUAUAGACUUAGAGCAGCUUUCAGGUUUAUUUCAGUAAUAAUGUCUUUCUCACCUUCUCACAUUGUGAAGUGUUUACCUGAGUCAGGGAGAGAGUUUAAUGGGGUUAUCUGUCGGGGUGCCAUGAAUGCUGAUGAUGGUCUGCAGGUUGUGAACAUCAGCCCCAUUGCUACAGGGGUGGACAGGUGGAAAAGCUCAGACUUGACAAACCACCUCUGCUAGAUAGAUGUGUCUUGGAAAUCCAGAAAUUACAGUGAAUAUUUUAUGGAAUGCCAGUGAGCAGACAGCAUUUCCCACUUUCCUAUCUUACCUUGAGGGUAAGACUUAAAGGUAUUUUUUUUUCUUGUAAUUUGAAGCCUAAAUUCUUUGAUUGUUUGAUGUAUGCAAUAUGAUGUAAGGCACAUUUUAUACCCCUAGUCAGUGGUUUCCCUUGGAUUCAUUCUCCUACUUGAUUGAACCCAUUUAAGUCAUUUUAGGAAAUGGUGGUUUGCUAUUAAAAUUAAUUGGAGAGAAUACUUGGUCAUUCUGUUAGCAAAAAGAGACUGAUGGAGCAUGGUGUUUUAUGGAUUCUGUUACAGGGCUUAUUCCUCCUUGAAUAAUGUGCUUUAAAAAUUAUUGUCCAUUCGAUUACAUUUUCUUUUAUUUUCCUACAAUGUAAGCACGGUUUUAGUCCUGUAGGUCAGCCUUUCUCACAAACUCUUUUGAACUAAGAUUUGCCUAGGUGAAUAAAUUGGGGAUGACGGUUGUCUGGAGAAGAUAUAAGGUCCAUUUGUGAAUACUCUGCACUAUGAGACCAGGAGAAAAAUCAUCUAAGAAAUCGUUCACUCUUGCUAAAAACUGAACUAAAUUUUAUAUGAUGCAUUUAUUCAGCAAUCAUAAGUGCUGUGCAUAACUAUUGUACAUAUUUUUGGACAAUUUCUUAGGGUUCAGCUUAAAAAUAUAAUUUGCCUACUGCAACU
rnacentral:lncRNA from 1 species